rnacentral:rRNA from 1 species
UACGAAGGGUGCUAGCGUUGUUCGGAAUCACUGGGCGUAAAGCGCGCGUAGGCGGCUUUGCAAGUCAGAGGUGAAAUCCUGAGGCUUAACCUCAGAAUUGCCUUUGAAACUGCAAGGCUGGAGUACUGGAGAGGAAUGCGGAAUUACUAAUGUAGCGGUGAAAUGCGUAGAUAUUAGUAGGAACACCGAUGGCGAAGGCAGCAUUCUGGACAGUAACUGACGCUGAGGCGCGAAAGCGUGGGGAUCAAACAGG